GAAUUUAUCUCGCAAAGUACGAGAGCACCUGGCCGAAAUCAUGUAAUAUAACAAUGAGUUCUAUUACAUGUUCCGGGUAGGAGCUGUCGAAGAUGUGAACUUUGAUCA
rnacentral:pre_miRNA from 13 species